GCUGCCGCCCCCGGCGUCCGCCGCCCCUCGGGCCGGGCCGGCAAGCUGUGCUCCGCUCACACCCAGUUUGUUCGCUCGGCUCGAGCUGCGGCGACCGCACUCGUCCGCACGUCUUGGGUGGACGGCACUAAUGUGACAGCGAGUUUCGACGAGGUCCACUGAGCCUCAUCAGUGCGCGAGAGCGUGUGGUUCGCCGUCUCACCUCUGAAGAUGUCUCCCGCAGUCGAAGAUGAAAAAUUAAGAAAAAGUGUUGUACAUCGACCAUGGUCUAUCAGCCCGGAAGUUUCAAGUGAAGUCAGUACCGGCCGUGAAAGCCUACACUGUGUAAUCAAGACUUCGCAGAUUCAGCACAGUGGAAAGCAACUGAUGACUUUCAUUGCAGUGACCACUUCGCACUGUGGAUUCACCUACUGUAUGGAGGAUUUCUUGAACAGAAGGCACAGAAAUGGAUGGUCAGCAGGGCUAACAGGACGCUGUUCAUCAAGCUGGCUGUGUCUGAGCAUCGCGACAGCGUCCAGGAAUGGAUGGACCACACCACAUGAGUGAUUUAUCUACAUCUACAUCUACAUGGUUACUCUGCAAUUCACACUUAAGUGCCUGGCAGAGGGCUCAUCGAACCAUUUUCAUACUACUUCUCUACCAUUCCACUCUCGAAUGGCGCGUGC